rnacentral:lncRNA from 1 species
AGAAGCAUCGCCAUUCGACCCGAUUUUAGAUAUUCGAGAGUGAUUUAAACGUAUGUAAUUGAUUGCAUCUUAAUUUGAAAAUUUUUUAUGUUCUUCAUCUCAUUAUUUGAAUCAUUUGGAAGUAAAAACAUCCAAAAAACUCCAAAAAAAAAAAAAGACGAUGGGUCGCUAAAUGUACCCUAUCGGUACGGCCUCGGUUCGGCUCGGUUCGGCAACGGUACCGUACCGAUACCGGAGCCGACCGGUACGUCGGUACCAUCGGUACCGCGAACCUUGGAUAGAAGGGAAUAAGAUCGCCUUACCUAGGACCUACUAAUAUGUAAACAUUUUGGUCCCUUUUGGUUGUUGGACAUGCUUGGUUAACUAGCUAAACAAGGCAUUUUUCUAUCAAAAAAUGUGACUUCUUCCUGGAGAAUAUGUUUGUUCUAGUCAAGGGGGGUUAUCCCCUAUUUCACGGAUAACUUUAUUUCAUGGAGAGAGGUGAAAUAAAGACAUUCUGCUGGUUAAGGGGUGAAUCAUUCCUUUCUUUUACCCUUCUCUUCUUUCAAAAGUUAUUCCUUAAUUAACCCCUUAUUACAAUAUCUUACAUGGAAUAGCAACUUCACAACCAAGUAGCCUUCAGGCUUAACUUAACAAUAAAGAAAUCUUGGAGGAAUACC